UUAGAGUUCUUAUUACAGUUACUGAGUUAUCAGAUUAUAGUUACUAUAUUCUCCAAUGGGAUGUUAGGUGGUACGUUAAUUGGAGUUACAUGUUCGUGACUAUGUCUAAACCUGUCACACAUUCUCUUUUCAGUAUGAUUCGUCUCUGAAGAUAAUUGGCAGUUCACAUGAAACUAUUGGAGAUUUUAUCCUUUGGAUUUG